GAUGAACGCUGGCGGCGUGCCUAACACAUGCAAGUCGAACGAGAAGUUAACCGCUGAUUCCUUCGGGAUGAGGAGGUUAGCAGAAAGUGGCGAACGGGUGAGUAACGCGUGGGUAAUCUACCCUGUAAGUGGGGGAUAACCCUCCGAAAGGAGGGCUAAUACCGCAUAAUAUCUUCACUUCUAAAGAAGAGAAGAUUAAAGAUGGCCUCUGUCUUAAGCUAUCACUUCAGGAUGAGCCUGCGUCCUAUUAGUUAGUUGGUGGGGUAAUGGCCUACCAAGACCACAAUGGGUAGCCGGUCUGAGAGGAUGUACGGCCACACUGGGACUGAGAUACGGCCCAGACUCCUACGGGAGGCAGCAGUGGGGAAUAUUGCGCAAUGGGGGAAACCCUGACGCAGCGACGCCGCGUGGAUGAUGAAGGCCUUUGGGUUGUAAAAUCCUGUUUUGGGGGAAGAAACCUUAAGGGUCCAAUAAACCCU
rnacentral:rRNA from 1 species